rnacentral:rRNA from 1 species
CAAGAGCGUAUAUUAAAGUUGUUGCAGUUAAAAAGCUCGUAGUUGGAUUUCUGGUACAACGCGCCUGGCCCGCUUUAUGUGAGUGCCGGUGCGCGUUUGCCAUCCUUCUAGAAAACGUUUCUACCUGGGCAACCGGGCCGGACUCGCGAUCUAGAUCUUUUACUUUGAAAAAUUAGAGUGUUUAAAGCAGGCUUUUGCUGUGAAUACAUUAGCAUGGAAUAAUAAGAUAGGACCUCGGUGCUAUUUUGUUGGUUUCUGGAACUGAAGUAAUGAUUGAUAGGGAUAGUUGGGGGUGCUAGUAUUGAGCGGCCAGAGGUGAAAUUCUUGGAUUCGCUGAAGACUAACUUAUGCGAAAGCAUUCACCAAGGAUGUCUUCUUUAAUCAAGAACGAAAGUUGGGGGAUCGAAGACGAUUAGAUACCAU